rnacentral:lncRNA from 1 species
AGCGUGAACAGAGAUGCCCUCGCUCGGAGCAAGAUCAACUUGACAUACAGCGCACAUGAAAAGACCGGAUGUUGAUUGGUUAGCAGAAUCAUCGUUUCCCAGUCUGCAAGGUAUGUUGUUAGAAAUUAUGCGAGUGUUGAUCAUCAUUUAAAAAAAAAAAGUGCAGCGGAAGAACUUUGUCUCUGAAAAAUGGAUUAUGUUUUGUAAUGCCGGGGAAAGAAAUCAUCAAUGGAACUCCAAGUAUAAAACUCCAUAUCACCAAGUUUAACUUCUUGAUUCGUAAUUACCCAAGAUGAAAGUACAUGUCCGUUCUACUUUCCAACUUUUUCUGAAAUAGAAAAGACUAAAUCGGACACUAACCCGUUAUGGCGAAUUCCCAACUGACGAAAAGUAGCUACCACAAAAUAUUUUUUUCACCAGAAUUAUAAUAGCCCGAUAGAUGAAACUCAAUUUAGUUACUUAAAUCCCAUCAACACACUAAUGGUUGUUCUCUAUAAAUGAUGUUGAUUCCUCUUGUAAAUUAUGUAAAUUCCUCAAGCAAUGUAGUAAAACAUAGAAAAGAAGACAAAUUUCUGCAUAGAAAUUCCUUUAUGCAUACGAUAAAGAAGCUGGAAAUAUGGAGAACUCGAAAAAAGAGGAAUCAACAUCGUUUGCAAGCUUUUCGACCAUUACCAAUAGAUGAAAAUUUACAGCUUCAAGCGAGGGAGUACUAACCUUUCAGCAAGCAUUGCUGAACCUUCUUCAAAUAAUUCUUCCACAAUUCCAAUAGAGGAAAACUUCUUUGAUAGUUUGUUAGCAGAAUCAUGGGACCCCCUCCGGAAUAAUAAAGCUCUCAAUUUGUUCUGCUUUUUGGGAGGCGGUGACAACUCUCUGGAAUUUUCUGGAGGGAUUAUGUCAACGACUAAGCACGUCGUAUCAUCCUUCAGUCCCCUUGUUCUCAAGGCUUCCUGUACAGUUACCCAUCAACGAAGAAGCCGUUUCGAGCAUUUAUCAUAAUCAGAGAUGAUAAGAACCAAAUUUAUUACCUUCACCACUUGUCUAGCUGCAAGUUCAGCUGGCAAUCCACGGCAAGAUUUUGCAGCUGCUUCUGAGGAUAGAGCAUCCCAGAUACCAUCAGAAGCAAUAAUAAGCCUCCCACCUACAUUUGAUAGCUGUUAUACCAAUAAAGAUUGUUAGAAUGCACUGCCCAGCACAAGUUCAUUGACUUUGAAACAUUAUUGCAAUAAAACUAGCUCUGUAGAUAACAGACCAAAACGUUUUUCCAAAAGCUUAGUGCUCGAAAUUUUAACACUUUCUCGGAAUAUGCUUGAUCCAUGCUUGGCAGUUAGUUUGGUGGAUUUGCGUGUAAAGAGAAUAUUGAUGUAUAAAUAACAAAUAGUCCCUCUACAGAAGAUCAAACUUUUAGAAAAAUCGGUUCAACUCUUUUAUUUAAGAGAUAUAAGUUGAGUUAAAGACCCAAUACCUUCACUUGUUUGACAUAUGGUAUUGGUACAAUGAACUCUCCGACAUCCAUGUCUCCAAUUGACCUAGAAAGGCAUAAACCUCCCGGCCAACACCUUAGAGGACCUAUCUGCAGAGUUUAAAGAAUAAAUAUUGUAAAAACCUUACAUGAUAAAGCAAGAUAAAGGGCUAGACAUGUUUAUUAUAUGAAGUCAUCGGGAGAAUUUGCAACUGACCUCAGCACCACCGACAAUGCUAAGCCUCCCUACUUCCCCUCCGCUUGCAGUAACACGUUCUCUCCUGCAAUCACAACAGAGUAAACUAACGAAUCAUAUGGAAAUAGAAAAAGGGAAUAAACAAAAAAGAUUUCGAGAAUUUAGAUAGACACACACUCUUCCGCAUUCUCUUCAAGCCUAUGAUCGACAGUUAGGGAGGAAAUUCCGCCACCCUGAGUAUCUAAAAUGCAGCGUGAGUCUCCUACAGACGCCACAGUGACAGUCCAACCAUCGACUAUCACAAACGUGGCUGUGGUUCCAGAUGUCUCUCCUGAAACAAUAUGAGCUGGGUUAGAGAUCAUUAACUUAUCCAAAGGCACAAGAGAGAUAGAGUUUGAAAUUUUGUAGUCAGAUUGCAUGCCUCUGCUCUGGAACUCUUUGUCAGUCUUUACAAACCCAGCAACUAAUGCCCGAGGUAAAGCUUGAAGCCACUCCUCACGGCCAAGUCCACGAGGAAUUGCACCCAAAACAUGACUUAACAAAUUCUCCCUCGUAAAAAUUGCCGCAGCAUUUCCAUUGUGCCCGUCAAAGAUCUUAGAAUAAAGAGAAAAAUACAUAUAUCAUGCAUAGUGAUACAUCAAGCUUAAGAUUAACCCAUUUAAUUAGUUGCUUGCUUCACGUUCUGAGAAAUAAAGUCCCAAACUACAUGUACAAAAUAGACAAGAAAUCAGCAAUUCAGAUAUUUCUGUCUUCCAAAAAGUGAUACAGCCACCAUAAUCUCGAGAUAAGGAAACUGCUAAGAGAAUAAUCCCAAUCACGCACACAACCACACAAAGCAAAGAGUAAAAGAAAAAAAAAAUUCAAGAUUUUACGUGAUACGGCAAAUAUAUCUACGUCCAUGGCCAAGACAGAAAACAAAAAUUUUCACUAUGGUGAAAGAAAAGAAUACAUCACCAAUUAACUUGUAAACCCCAAUACACCCGAAAUAUUAUGAUUUUUCCAAACUAAAGAAAACCGAUUAACAAAACCAAACCAAACCGGUUUAAUAUGACCAAAACCAAGUCAAAACAGUCAAACCAAAAUUCAAGGCACAUAAACAAAAACUCAAAUAUCAAGGUCAGGAAAAAUGAUGAAGAAGCUUGUCAAGAUUUAAAGGAAAAUUUUGGCUCAGUCAAUUUGAGUAAGAUUUGACUUCUAUCAUCACACUCAUUAUCGUGACUCGGAGAUUGGAAUUAUUAAAAUACAAACUCCAACAAAUUUCAUAUUCAAGAUUUCAGUGAAGUGAUAAAGUGAAAAUCCAAUUUGGAAAGGAGCAAAACAUGCCUAAGCUAGGUGAAGAACUAAAAUUUUGAUGAUAUAAGACUAUAAUAAAGCAUCCCUAGUUCUAGGGACAAGAAAUUCAUACAGCAAAGACAGAAAAUGUUGAUGAGGAGUUUCCAGGUAUUCGCUGAUAAUCCGUCUUUAUCAAGAAAUAAUCUUCCCCCUUUCUGGACUGAGCAGCAUACCCAUAUCUCACAGCCGGUUUCUCCAUCUUUUCGUUCCUCAUUUCUUGGUUUAUCAAAGCAGCAAGAGGCACAAGGUUGUGAUGACGACGUCUUCCUUCUCGAGACGCCAUAGCUAGAGCACUGCACUAACUCAGCCUUAGGCCUCGGACCUUGAAACUAUCAGAGCCUUGGCCUCAAGAUCAUAGUACUGUUUCCUAAUACCUCUGCAACUCACAAUCAUAUGACAUCCAACUCAAUCACAAGCAUCUUCCUCCACAUCAACAAUCUCUCAAUGUGAAAAAAAAAAAUAUAAAAAUAAAAACACACACCAACCGUAUUCCUCUGUCCCAAUAGACAAAGACUUUGAAGUCAACUGUUUAUGAAAUCAAUCACGAAGUUUCCAACUUGAUCUGCAGUCGUGAUUGACAGCCAGAUGUUAAACAACAUGUCAGGUAAAAAUUGAUAACAUAUAAUACAAACUAAAACUAGGUUAUGCUAAAUCAGAACAGCUUAACAAAGGAAAGAAGCAGACCAUAAAGCAAUAGCAAAAUUAUUCCGGAAAAGAAAAUCCCAACCGAGAUAAAUGGGAAAAAUAAGGAGACCAGAAAUUCAAGUUUCUAAAAUUUUCCUUGAUGGGAUCCUAAACCAAGACCAAGAGAAAAACAUCAUAAAACACAAGAUUCAAAAACUUCUAGACUAAGAAAAGACUUGGUUGCUUACUUCAGACAACAAACUCAGCUACAUAGCAAAACUCUACUGCAUAUUUCGCACUUUCCUCAAGUUUCUCGGCAAACAAACAGAGGUUAACACUCAAGAGUCAAGAAGACAAACGAGGAGAAGGAAUCUGAAUUACCAGCAAGAAUGUUUGCCUUGCUUGCUCCAAACCCAAAUGCAGAUCUGGUUACAAGAUGCAACACUAAGCAAAUACCAACUUCAACAAUAAACAAAUGAAGAAAAAGAUACGAAACUCAACACGGAAAAAAAAAAAAAACGCGUAUAGUUGACAAGAUAUGAACUGUAGAAUCCAUUAAUCUAAAUCCGAUUCAAAAAGAAAAUCACCAUUUCAAUUAAAAAAAUACCCAGGUCCCAGAGACACCACCGGAUUAAAAUAAACCCAAAAAAGAAAAAUCAAUUAUUUUUUAAAGACAACCCACAGGUCAGCUUCACAACAUUUGCCCUCAAAAAUCAAUUUUCCUGGGAAAAAAACAGAAUUUCCCAGGAAAACUAAUUGGGGUUGCUUAAAAAGAUAGCCUUUUUAAUAUUUGGAAAGUGGGGUUGCUGACUAUAACGCAAGCUGUACACAACCCACAUUCUGUUUCUGUUAAAAGUCGGUUUCUUCGAUCAAUUUGCUUUCUUUCUACUAAAUUUUCUAAGACAAAAACUUUUACAGUGUGAGCAAAUGGAAUCAGGAAGAAAAGCAAUAAAUUAAAAAAAAAAACAAAUUUAAGUAGACUGUCCUUUUGUUUACCUAACAGAUCGCGGAAAUGGUUUAUCUUUCAGAGAGAAAAAAAAAAAAAAAAAAAAAAAAAAAAAAAAAAAAAGAUCCUCUUUUCAUAUAUAUUCUCUGCUGGCUGGAGGAAUCUGAGAUGAGAAGAGAAAGGUGGCGGUGAUAUAUCAGCUUUAGCUGGGAGCUUGGGAGACGAGUACCAACCAAGACGGUGUAAAACACUCAGUGAUUAGUGCAUUACAGUGAGAUAAACUUGCAGGCCCCAUAAAUUUUUCUUUUUUCUUCUUUUUCCCUCAGAUUUCAUCUAAAAAUACAAAUUUGUUCAUAAAAUAUUGAUACAAGUCAAAUUUAGGUCACCGUUGUUUUAUUACUUUUUUUAUUAUGUAUAUAUAUAUAUAUAUCGUUUAGGUCAAAUUUAGUGAUCAUGUGAAAAAUAAAAACUUUUGCACGCGUAAGAGAGUGUGUAAAAAGGUCGUGCGUGUGUUUCUGCGUAAAUGCUUUAUGUUUUUUAUUUUGCAGUAGGGUUGUUGUGCAGACUGCAAACCGUUUGGAGAAGACGACGAUGGUCCCGUUAGCUGAAGCCAUGGGAGGACCACAACAAGCUCUGUGGUUAGAUUACGUUAACAUGUCAGGAUCUCCUUAAUUACACUACUGAUUAUAAAUACUUUUUUUAUUACGACAUAAAUUUAAUAUUUAAUUUUCAUUACUAAUUACUUAUUUUUAAAAAACCCAGUUUCACAUUUGUUAUAAUUUAAUUUAUAAUAUUUUUUUUAUUGUAA